AGUGAACGCUGGCGGCAGGCCUAACACAUGCAAGUCGAACGGCAGCACAGUAAGAGCUUGCUCUUACGGGUGGCGAGUGGCGGACGGGUGAGGAAUACAUCGGAAUCUACUUUUUCGUGGGGGAUAACGUAGGGAAACUUCCGCUAAUACCGCAUACGACCUCCGGGUGUAAGCACGCGAUCUUCGGACCUUGCGCGAUUGAAUGAGCCGAUGUCGGAUUAGCUAGUUGGCGGGGUAAAGGCCCACCAAGGCGACGAUCCGUAGCAGGUCUGAGAGGAUGAUCAGCCACACUGGAACUGAGACACGGUCCAGACUCCUUCGGGAGGCGGCACUGGGGAAUAUUGGACAAUAGGCGGAAGCCUGAUCCAGCCAAACCGCGUGGGUGAAGAAGUCCUUCGGUGUGUAAAGCCCUUUUGUUGGGAAAGAAAAGCAGCAGGUUAAUACCCCGCUGUUCUGACGGUACCCAAAGAAUAAGCACCGGCUAACUUCGUG
rnacentral:rRNA from 1 species